GACGAACGCUGGCGGCGUGCUUAACACAUGCAAGUCGAACGGACAGGCCCUGCUUUUGUGGGGUGCUCGAGUGGCGAACGGGUGAGUAACACGUGAGUAACCUGCCCUUGACUUUGGGAUAACUUCAGGAAACUGGGGCUCAUACCGGAUAGGAGCUCCUGCUGCAUGGUGGGGGUUGGAAAGUUUCGGCGGUUGGGGCUGGACUCGCGGCUUAUCAGCUUGUUGGUGGGGUAGUGGCUUACCAAGGCUUUGACGGGUAGCCGGCCUGAGAGGGUGACCGGCCACAUUGGGACUGAGAUACGGACCAGACUCCUACGGGAGGCAGCAGGGGGGAAUAUUGCACAAUGGGCGGAAGCCUGAUGCAGCAACGCCGCGUGCGGGAUGACGGCCUUCGGGUUGUAAACCGCUUUCGCCUGUGACGAAGAGUGAGUGACGGUAAUGGGUAAAGAAGCACCGGCUAACUACGUG
rnacentral:rRNA from 1 species